GUUGAAACACCAUUUUCCAUAUGACCACUGAAGUCAAACAACAUCGAGCCUGGUCAGUACCUAGAUGGGUGACCGCUUGGGAAUAACAGGUGCUGUAA